rnacentral:rRNA from 1 species
CCUACGGGAGGCAGCAGUGAGGAAUAUUGGGCAAUGGACGAGAGUCUGAACCAGCCAAGUAGCGUGAAGGAUGACUGCCCUAUGGGUUGUAAACUUCUUUUAUAUGGGAAUAAAAUGUUCCACGUGUGGGAUUUUGUAUGUACCAUAUGAAUAAGGAUCGGCUAACUCCGUGCCAGCAGCCGCGGUAAUACGGAGGAUCCGAGCGUUAUCCGGAUUUAUUGGGUUUAAAGGGAGCGUAGGUGGAUUGUUAAGUCAGUUGUGAAAGUUUGGGGCUCAACCGUAAAAUUGCAGUUGAAACUGGCAGUCUUGAGUACAGUAGAGGUGGGCGGAAUUCGUGGUGUAGCGGUGAAAUGCUUAGAUAUCACGAAGAACUCCGAUUGCGAAGGCAGUUCACUGGACUGCAACUGACACUGAGGCUCGAAAGUGUGGGUAUCAAACAGGAUUAGAUACCCUUGUAGUC